rnacentral:rRNA from 1 species
AGCGAACGCUGGCGGCAGGCUUAACACAUGCAAGUCGAGCGGGCGUAGCAAUACGUCAGCGGCAGACGGGUGAGUAACGCGUGGGAACGUACCUUUUGGUUCGGAACAACACAGGGAAACUUGUGCUAAUACCGGAUAAGCCCUUACGGGGAAAGAUUUAUCGCCGAAAGAUCGGCCCGCGUCUGAUUAGCUAGUUGGUAGGGUAAUGGCCUACCAAGGCGACGAUCAGGUGCUGGUCUGAGAGGAUGAUCAGCCACAUUGGGACUGAGACACGGCCCAAACUCCUACGGGAGGCAGCAGUGGGGAAGAUUGGACAAUGGGGGCAACCCUGAUCGAGCCAUGCCGCGUGAGUGAUGAAGGCCCUAGGGUUGUAAAGCUCUUUUGUGCGGGAAGAUAAUGACGGUACCGCAAGAAUAAGCCCCGGCUAACUUCGUGCCAGCCGCCGCCGUAA